GGGGAUGUGGCUCAAAGGUGGAGCAUUUGCCUAGCAUGCAUGAGGCACUGAGUUUGAUCCUCAGCACCACA
rnacentral:tRNA from 1 species